GUACUUGCUUCUGCAGCACAUACACUAAAAUUAGAAUGAUACAGAGAAGAUUAGUAUGGCCCCUACAGAAGCAUGACACACAAAUUCGUGAAGCAUUCCAUAUCUUA